AAAGCGGGGAAAAAUGCAAAAGGAAUAUCGAUGAGGAACGACCGCAGACUCUUGAAAGAGACAAAACUGGAGCUUCAGUACCGAAGAGACAUCUGCUUACAGGCCCGUGAGCUGGGAUGCGAAGUGGAACAACAAAAAUGAAACCACGUCAACUCAAGACAGCAAAGCUUCUCAUAAUUUAACGGUCGCCUGCUUUAUGAAAUCAUUAAAUUGAAAUAUAGAUUGUUGUUGUAAAGUAAACUUUUUAAAUCCAAAAGAGAUUGUGUCCUUAUGAUAAACAUAUAUUGGUUAAAAUGUGUGAAAAUAAAAUCUGUGGAUGAUGUGAUGGAUAGACAUUUCUUUGUUUCUUCAAACUUUGCGGACAAUCAGUCUCUUUACAAGGUUUUAAACCAGAUCUAUUGGCUACCAAAAAGUAGUUAAACCCCAAUCAAUUAAUAAAAUACCGAAUAAAUAAA